AUAUUAGGCUACACAACAGAGGAUUCUGAUGGAUAUUUCAGGGUUUGAGUUUACAUGGGAAAUAUUAUUCUAUAUUUUCCACAAGUACUGUAUAUUAAGGACAUUUCUUAAUUAAGAACUACAAGGCAAAAAAGAAAGAAAAAACUUCUAUGCAACUGAGGUAAGCAACCGGCACUAGAACUGGUUGCCAGUCGCUCCACUUCAGAGCAAAGCUGGGGUGACUUGAGGUUCAGUCUUUGUUGGGGUCCCACAGGUGUAACACCGCUCUUACCUGUGUGCAGCAUCCCGGAGCCGGACUCGCCUCCAAAAUCCAGCGGAGCAUCGGCAGGCCGCAGCAGCUUCUCUCCUCCCGCAGCUGCAUCCCAUCACCGAGGCGCCAAACGAGCCAACAGAGGACCCGCCCAUUCCUUCCAAUGUGGACCAAUUACAAUCCUGCAGGACCUCCGCCCAUUUUAUUUCAAAGCCUG